rnacentral:rRNA from 1 species
UACGAAGGGGGCUAGCGUUGCUCGGAAUCACUGGGCGUAAAGGGUGCGUAGGCGGGUCUUUUAAGUCAGGGGUGAAAUCCUGGAGCUCAACUCCAGAACUGCCUUUGAUACUGAAGAUCUUGAGUCCGGGAGAGGUGAGUGGAACUGCGAGUGUAGAGGUGAAAUUCGUAGAUAUUCGGAGGAACACCAGAAGCGAAGGCGGCCAACUGGCCCGAUACUGACGCUGAGGCGCGAAAGCGUGGGGAGCAAACAGGG